GGCUCAGAAACAUUACAGUAGGAUAUGGUGUAGAAAAAGAGAAAAGGAACGCAUUAGUUAGCAGCAAACUAGCAUUUAUGAACAAUAUCAGUAGAAUUAUCUGUUCAUUCUAUUAAAAUUCAAUCAUCUAGCUCGUCCUCAUCUUCAUCAUCAAUGAAUUCUUCCUCUUCUUCAUCGCUUUCUCCUCCUUGUUCCUCGUCAACAUCAUCAUCAUUCACAAUAAAGCCUCCAAGUGUAGCAUCAGCAUCAUCAUCAUCGUCAUCGUCAUCAUUCACAGUGUUCCUCUGCAAAGAAUCUUUCUUUCUGUCUCUAUCUUUAUGGGGUUUAUCUUUUUCCUUCGAUCUUGUUGAAUGUUUUGAUCUCUCAAUCUUUCUUAUUUUCGCUACAGUCUCCUUAUCUUCUUCACUCUCACCGCUCCAAUCAUCAUCAUCCUUGUCAUUACCUCCACCUUUCUUCCUCUUUCUCCUCUCAUUUCCUUUCCUCUUCAUUCUAUUACUCUCAAAACUCCCACCGUCCUCGCUAUCUUCCUCAGGUUCCUCGAGGAACCAAUACCAAUUCUUCACAUCGCGGAAUCUUUGCUUGGGAUAGCAGUCGAACUCGUGCCCAAUUACCAGAAAUCCAAACUCUGCAGCUCCAACAUACAAAUGAAAGAAAUAUAUUAGAACGAUUACUGGUUAAGAUUAUUUGAAAGGAAGUAGCACAAAGGCCAAACCUUUAACAGGAUCAAUUUGUGAAAGAUCAACACUUUCUGAAUUCUCACCCAGUCUCUCGCUACCAUUCACGCUCCCAAAAUCCCUUUCUUUUCCAAUUCCGAUUCUCUUCAGGUUGAACCAAACAGGACUUUGACUUGAAAUGCAAAACCAGUCACCGGCUGCCAUUUCACCCCUCUCGAGCUUCCUGAAAACCUUGAUCUCUUUUCCACCGCCGCCGCUUCGCACCCAGAGUGGGUUCCUGCCAAUAACUUGAAAUGAAACCCUAGGCUCUGUAUGGUUUUCAGUUUUGUCGAGGUGAAAUAAGAUGUGACGGCGAGAGACGGUUCUGUCUUUGGUGUUAGACCCUGAGCCUCUUCCAAACACAGUCUCGGAACUGUCGUCUUUCAAUUCAAUCGUCGAGCCAUCAUCGCCUUCUAGCUCCAUUUGGCUUCUCUGAGUAUUGACAGAGGAAGUGGGAAGAGGAAGAUGUAAAAAAAAAAAAAAAAAAAAAAAAAAGGGGGGGGAGGUAAAACCAGUGGUCAGGCGGUUGAAGAAGAAAACGAUGUCGUUUUUACAAGGACUCUCCCUAUCUUUUUCUUUAUCCAUUAACUAGCGUACAAAACUUGCAUCGAAAUGUGAGCACCGGUCACAGGCUCACAGCCACUGAAACUCUAAGCAUAGACCGAGGACGGACCAUGCCCUUGUUGGUCAAGACCGGUAACAGUCAUCACUUGCUAUCAUCAACGGCCAUGGCAAUGUGCUCAAGCUUUUGCCCUCAACUUCCCAGCCACUUCAGAGCAAGUGAUGACUGUUACCGGUCUUGA
rnacentral:misc_RNA from 1 species